rnacentral:rRNA from 1 species
GAUGAACGCUGGCGGCGUGCCUAGUACAUGCAAGUCGAGCGAACGGACGAGAAGCUUGCUUCUCUGAUGUUAGCGGCGGACGGGUGAGUAACACGUGGAUAACCUACCUAUAAGACUGGGAUAACUUCGGGAAACCGUAGCUAAUACCGGAUAAUAUUUUGAACCGCAUGGUUCAAAAGUGAAAGACGGUCUUGCUGUCACUUAUAGAUGGAUCCGCGCUGCAUUAGCUAGUUGGUAAGGUAACGGCUUACCAAGGCAACGAUGCAUAGCCGACCUGAGAGGCUGAUCGGCCACACUGGAACUGAGACACGGUCCAGACUCCUACGGGAGGCAGCAGUAGGGAAUCUUCCGCAAUGGGCGAAAGCCUGACGGAGCAACGCCGCGUGAGUGAUGAAGGUCUUCGGAUCGUAAAACUCUGUUAUUAGGGAAGAACAUAUGUGUAAGUAACUGUGCACAUCUUGACGGUACCUAAUCAGAAAGCCACGGCUAACUACGUG